rnacentral:rRNA from 1 species
AUUGAACGCUGGCGGCAGGCCUAACACAUGCAAGUCGAGCGGAGCGGCGGUCGGGUGCGUAAUGCCUAUGAAUCUGCCUGGUCGUGGGGAAUAACGUCCGGAAACGGGCGCUAAUACCGCAUACUAUCAGAUGAGCCUAGGUCGGAUUAGCUAGUUGGUGGGGUAAAGGCCUACCAAGGCGACGAUCCGUAACUGGUCUGAGAGGAUGAGCAGUCACACUGGAACGGAGACACGGUCCAGACGCCGACGGGAGGCAGCAGUGGGGAAUAUUGGACAAUGGGCGAAAGGCUGAUCCAGCCAAGCCGCGUGUGUGAAGAAGGGCUUCGGAUUGUAAAGCAUUUUAAGGUGGGAGGCGGUACCAACAGAAUAAGCACCGGCUAACUUCGUGCCAGCAGCCGCGGUAAUUC